UACGUAGGGGGCUAGCGUUGUCCGGAUUUAUUGGGCGUAAAGAGCGUGUAGGCGGCCAGGUAGGUCCGUUGUGAAAACUCGAGGCUCAACCUCGAGACGUCGGCGGAAACCCUCUGGCUAGAGUCCGGAAGAGGAGAGUGGAAUUCCUGGUGUAGCGGUGAAAUGCGCAGAUAUCAGGAGGAACACCGAUGGCGAAGGCAGCUCGCUGGGACGGUGCUGACGCUGAGACGCGAAAGCGUGGGGAGCGAACAGG
rnacentral:rRNA from 1 species